CCUGUUGUGAUCAGGGUAAGAGAACCACACAGAGUCACAUCACCGUUACAAUGUUUUCUGUUUCUAACCUGAAUGUAUUGUAAUGUCACCCCCCUCUUGUGCAGAACAAUGCCGGUCCGGUGGCUAAAGCUUGGAGAACUUUCCAGUUCAUCAGCCCCAUUAUCACCUACAUGCGUGGGGGAUCCCAGCAGGUGGUGGUGAGGAUGCACCAUGUGAGUAGGGUUCGAGGCCUGGAGACUCAACUGGUGUGGGCCAUCUCCAAGGAGACAGCCAGGCUUAGUCCAGAGGGCAUCCCCUACUGUGCCACCAAGGUGCAGUCCGUCACUUGGAUCCAGUAUGUGGCUGGCAGGGUGACCCAGUAUGCAUCUCACCUCCGCCACGA